rnacentral:rRNA from 1 species
UUACGAGGUCAGGACACUGUGAGGAUUGACAGAUUGAAAGCUCUUUCUUGAUUCAGUGGGUGGUGGUGCAUGGCCGUUCUUAGUUGGUGGAGUGAUUUGUCUGGUUAAUUCCGUUAACGAACGAGACCUUAACCUGCUAAAUAGUCACGCGAACCGGUCCGCAAGGGCUCAAAGUUCGCGGCUCGACUUCUUAGAGGGACUAUUCGCACCCGCCAGCGAAUGGAAGUUUAAGGCAAUAACAGGUCUGUGAUGGCCUUAGAUGUUCUCGGCCGCACGCGCGUUACACUGACGGAGUCAACGAGCGUUUUUCCUUGCCCGAUAGGGCCGGGUAACCUCCUGAAACUCCGUCGUGAUGGGGAUAGAUCAUUGCAAUUAUUGAUCUUGAACGAGGAAUUCCUAGUAAGCGCGAGUCAUCAACUCGCGCUGAUUACGUCCCUGCCCUUUGUACACACCGCCCGUCGCUCCUACCGAUUGAACGGUCCGGCGAGAACUCCGGAUGGUC